AUGGGUAUAUUGCCAGAUAAGUUGGAUACAAGCUCUCUCAUGUUAGAUGGUCAAUUACUGCAUAUGUGUUAUGCCGCUCACAUGUUAAACUUGAUUGUAAAAGAUGGAAUGAGUGUCUUAGAGAAAUGUAUAGAGAGGUUGCGUGACAGUGUUGCAUUUUGGUCAGCCACACCUAAAAGGCAUGAGAAGUUUGGAAAGAUGGCAAAAACUUUAAACAUAGAGUAA
rnacentral:rRNA from 1 species